CAGGUUUACCUGUGUGACUGCGUACCUUUUGUAUAAUGGGUCAGCGACUUAUAUUCUGUAGCAAGGUUAACCGAAUAGGGGAGCCGGAGGGAAACCGAGUCUUAAUUGGGCGUUAAGUUGCAGGGUAUAGACCCGAAACCCGGUGAUCUAGCCAUGGGCAGGUUGAAGGUUGGGUAACACUAACUGGAGGACCGAACCGACUAAUGUUGAAAAAUUAGCGGAUGACCUGUGGCUGGGGGUGAAAGGCCAAUCAAACCGGGAGAUAGCUGGUUCUCCCCGAAAGCUAUUUAGGUAGCGCCUCGUGAAUUCAUCUCCGGGGGUAGAGCACUGUUUCGGCUAGGGGGCCAUCCCGGCUUACCAACCCGAUGCAAACUGCGAAUACCGGAGAAUGUUAUCACGGGAGACACACGGCGGGUGCUAACGUCCGUCGUGAAGAGGGAAACAACCCAGACCGCCAGCUAAGGUCCCAAAGUCAUGGUUAAGUGGGAAACGAUGUGGGAAGGCCCAGACAGCCAGGAUGUUGGCUUAGAAGCAGCCAUCAUUUAAAGAAAGCGUAAUAGCUCACUGGUCGAGUCGGCCUGCGCGGAAGAUGUAACGGGGCUAAACCAUGCACCGAAGCUGCGGCAGCGACACUGUGUGUUGUUGGGUAGGGGAGCGUUCUGUAAGCCUGUGAAGGUGUGUCGUGAGGCAUGCUGGAGGUAUCAGAAGUGCGAAUGCUGACAUAAGUAACGAUAAAGCGGGUGAAAAGCCCGCUCGCCGGAAGACCAAGGGUUCCUGUCCAACGUUAAUCGGGGCAGGGUGAGUCGACCCCUAAGGCGAGGCCGAAAGGCGUAGUCGAUGGGAAACGGGUUAAUAUUCCCGUACUUGGUGUUACUGCGAAGGGGGGACGGAGAAGGCUAUGUUGGCCGGGCGACGGUUGUCCCGGUUUAAGCGUGUAGGUGUGUGUUCCAGGUAAAUCCGGUUCACUUUAACACUGAGGCGUGACGACGAGGCACUACGGUGCUGAAGCAACAAAUGCCCUGCUUCCAGGAAAAGCCUCUAAGCAUCAGGUAACAUCAAAUCGUACCCCAAACCGACACAGGUGGUCAGGUAGAGAAUACCAAGGCGCUUGAGAGAACUCGGGUGAAGGAACUAGGCAAAAUGGUGCCGUAACUUCGGGAGAAGGCACGCUGACACGUAGGUGAAGUGAUUUACUCAUGGAGCUGAAGUCAGUCGAAGAUACCAGCUGGCUGCAACUGUUUAUUAAAAACACAGCACUGUGCAAACACGAAAGUGGACGUAUACGGUGUGACGCCUGCCCGGUGCCGGAAGGUUAAUUGAUGGGGUCAGCGCAAGCGAAGCUCCUGAUCGAAGCCCCGGUAAACGGCGGCCGUAACUAUAACGGUCCUAAGGUAGCGAAAUUCCUUGUCGGGUAAGUUCCGACCUGCACGAAUGGCGUAAUGAUGGCCAGGCUGUCUCCACCCGAGACUCAGUGAAAUUGAACUCGCUGUGAAGAUGCAGUGUACCCGCGGCAAGACGGAAAGACCCCGUGAACCUUUACUAUAGCUUGACACUGAACAUUGAGCCUUGAUGUGUAGGAUAGGUGGGAGGCUUUGAAGUGUGGACGCCAGUCUGCAUGGAGCCGACCUUGAAAUACCACCCUUUAAUGUUUGAUGUUCUAACGUGGACCCGUUACCCGGGUUGCGGACAGUGUCUGGUGGGUAGUUUGACUGGGGCGGUCUCCUCCUAAAGAGUAACGGAGGAGCACGAAGGUUGGCUAAUCCUGGUCGGACAUCAGGAGGUUAGUGCAAUGGCAUAAGCCAGCUUGACUGCGAGCGUGACGGCGCGAGCAGGUGCGAAAGCAGGUCAUAGUGAUCCGGUGGUUCUGAAUGGAAGGGCCAUCGCUCAACGGAUAAAAGGUACUCCGGGGAUAACAGGCUGAUACCGCCCAAGAGUUCAUAUCGACGGCGGUGUUUGGCACCUCGAUGUCGGCUCAUCACAUCCUGGGGCUGAAGUAGGUCCCAAGGGUAUGGCUGUUCGCCAUUUAAAGUGGUACGCGAGCUGGGUUUAGAACGUCGUGAGACAGUUCGGUCCCUAUCUGCCGUGGGCGCUGGAGAACUGAGGGGGGCUGCUCCUAGUACGAGAGGACCGGAGUGGACGCAUCACUGGUGUUCGGGUUGUCAUGCCAAUGGCACUGCCCGGUAGCUAAAUGCGGAAGAGAUAAGUGCUGAAAGCAUCUAAGCACGAAACUUGCCCCGAGAUGAGUUCUCCCUGAGACUUAAAGUCUCCUGAAGGAACGUUGAAGACGACGACGUUGAUAGGCCGGGUGUGUAAGCGCAGCGAUGCGUUG
rnacentral:rRNA from 1 species